UAGUGAACCAGUACCGCGAGGGAAAGGUGAAAAGAACCCCGGAAGGGGAGUGAAACAGAACAUGAAACCAUUAGCUUACAAGCAAUCGGAGCCCGAUUAAAACGGGUGACGGUGUGCCUGUUGAAGAAUGAGCCGGCGACUUAUAGGCACAGGUAGAUUAAGCCGAAAAUGGCGAAGUCAAAGCGAAAGCGAGUCUGAAUAGGGCGUUAAUCUGUGUUUAUAGACCCGAACCCUGGUGAUCUAACCAUGUCCAGGAUGAAGCUUGGGUAACACCACGUGGAGGUCCGAACCGACUGAUGUUGAAAAAUCAGCGGAUGAGGUGUGGUUAGGGGUGAAAUGCCAAUCGAACCAGGAGCUAGCUGGUUCUCCCCGAAAUGUGUUUAGGCGCAGCGGUAAUGAUUAUAGCGGGGGGGUAAAGCACUGAUUCGGUGAGGGCUGCGAAAGCGGUACCAAAUCGAUUCAAACUCUGAAUACCCCGUGCACACAUUGCCAGUAAGACGGUGGGGGAUAAGCUUCAUCGUCAAGAGGGAAACAGCCCAGACCACCAGCUAAGGUCCCAAAAUGACUGCUAAGUGAUAAAGGAGGUGGGAUUGCAGUGACAACCAGGAGGUUUGCCUAGAAGCAGCCACCCUUGAAAGAGUGCGUAAUAGCUCACUGGUCAAGCGAUCCUGCGCCGAAAAUGAACGGGGCUAAAUGAUGUACCGAAGCUGUGGGAUUUAUCUAUCGAUGAAUCGGUAGGGGAGCGUUCUGUUGUAGUGUGAAGUCGUAGCGGCAAGCAGCGAUGGACGAAGCAGAAGUGAGAAUGUCGGCUUGAGUAGCGAAAACAUUGGUGAGAAUCCAAUGCCCUGAAAUCCUAAGGGUUCCUCCGGAAGGCUCGUCCGCGGAGGGUUAGUCGGGUCCUAAGGCGAGGCAGAAGUGCGUAGUCGAUGGAUAACUGGUUAAUAUUCCAGUACUCGAUUUUGGAUUGUGCAGAGGGACGGAGCAGGCUAAUGAAGCCGCAUGUUGGUUAGCGGUUCAAGCGUCCGAGGCUUUGAGGAACGGUGAAAACGUUCUGAGCUGAGGCGUGAGUACUAUUUCCUACGGGAGAGAAGUUCAUGACGUCAUACUUUCUAGAAAAGCUCUAAACACGUUAAUCCAAAGUCACCCGUACCCUAAACCGACACAGGUGGGAUGGUUGAGAAUACUAAAGGGCGCGAGUUAACUCUCUCUAAGGAACUCGGCAAAAUGGCCCCGUAACUUCGGGAGAAGGGGUGCCCACGCAAGUGGGUCGCAGUGAAGAGUCCCAGGCGACUGUUUACCAAAAACACAGGUCUCCGCUAAGUCGUAAGACGAUGUAUGGGGGCUGACGCCUGCCCAGUGCCGGAAGGUUAAAGAAGUUGGUCAGGGAGCAAUCCUAAAGCUAGCGACUGAAGCCCCGGUGAACGGCGGCCGUAACUAUAACGGUCCUAAGGUAGCGAAAUUCCUUGUC
rnacentral:rRNA from 1 species